AGAGGGGACUCCUGUGCAGGAGUGUUUUCGGGACAGUCCCUUUCCCUCUGGGCAUGAGGAAGUCUCUGACUGCUUUGAAAACCUUUGAAGGACAACCGGGAAGGAGACUUAGAGGCUGGCUCUCUGAAGGGGUGGAGACACGCAUCUGUGGUCCCUGCGGUCAGCCUUCAGCAGUUUGAGUUGGGAGAGCUUUUUCGUUUCUGUAGAACUUGAAGGCUGCCGUUUGAAAUGGCACUGGAUCAAGUGUUCAUUGGCCACCACCUACUUCCGACAUGGAACACAACUGCUCGUCCAGUUGCAAGCACAGAAUGAAGGUGAAUCAGCUCAUGGAUGGCCUUCAGAAAUUCUGAGCUUGGUUUUAGACAUUGUAACAUAUAUUAAGACCAACAGGGCAAAAGAGGUCCUUUAAGUGUGAAAUUAAAGUAUUAUCCAAGGAUA
rnacentral:lncRNA from 1 species